rnacentral:rRNA from 1 species
AUUGAACGCUGGCGGAAUGCUUUACACAUGCAAGUCGAGCGGCAGCGCGGGGUGACCUGGCGGCGAGCGGCGAACGGGUGAGUAAUACAUCGGAACGUACCAGUUGUGGGGGAUAGCCCGGCGAAAGCCGGAUUAAUACCGCAUACGACCUGAGGGUGAAAGGGGGGGAUCGCAAGACCUCUCGCAGUUGGAGCGGCCGAUGGCGGAUUAGCUAGUUGGUGAGGUAAAGGCUCACCAAGGCGACGAUCCGUAGCGGGUCUGAGAGGAUGAUCCGCCACACUGGGACUGAGACACGGCCCAGACUCCUACGGGAGGCAGCAGUGGGGAAUAUUGGACAAUGGGGGGAACCCUGAUCCAGCCAUGCCGCGUGUGUGAAGAAGGCCUUAUGGUUGUAAAGCACUUUAAGCGAGGAGGAGGCUCUUUUGGUUAAUACCCAAGAUGAGUGGACGUUACUCGCAGAAUAAGCACCGGCUAACUCUGUGCCAGCCGCCGCAGUAACAC